UACGGGGGGAGCAAGCGUUGUUCGGAUUUACUGGGCGUAAAGGGCGCGUAGGCGGUCAGCACAAGUCAGUUGUGAAAUCUCCGGGCUUAACUCGGAAAGGUCAACUGAUACUGUGCGACUAGAGUGCGGAAGGGGCAACUGGAAUUCUUGGUGUAGCGGUGAAAUGCGUAGAUAUCGAGAGGAACACCUGCGGCGAAGGCGGGUUGCUGGGCUGACACUGACGCUGAGGCGCGAAAGCCAGGGGAGCGAACGGG
rnacentral:rRNA from 1 species